UACGUAGGGGGCAAGCGUUGUCCGGAAUCAUUGGGCGUAAAGAGCGUGUAGGCGCCAGAAAAGUCCGCUGUGAAAACUCGAGGCUCAACUUCGAGCUGUCGGUGGAAACUUUCUGGCUAGAGUCCGGAAGAGGAGAAUGGAAUUCCUGGUGUAGCGGUGAAAUGCGCAGAUAUCAGGAAGAACACCCGUGGCGAAGGCGGUUCUCUGGGACGGUACUGACGCUGGAGACGGCGAAAGCGUGGGGAGCGAACAGG
rnacentral:rRNA from 1 species